AUUUUAUCUGACACAGAGAGACUGACGUGCCAUCCGGAAGCUCAAACCCUGGAUAGAGAGGCUCAGUGAAUGUGGUGUGGAAUGUGUGCAGAGAGGUUCAACUCUUUGAACAUGAGAGGUGUCUCCAUAAAUUGGUCUCUCUUCAUGGACACACAGCUGGGUACAGGCCAAUGAACAUUCUGAAUAGGCACAACGAGGUGUGGCACAUGGUGGAGGGAGAGCCUGUGUGCCCUACCUCCUCCUAAACAUCCUCCUCCACUACUGCAUAACCACUUUGAGGAGGACCAAUGGGAGGUGCAUGGCUGACUGAGAACAUCUGAGAAAAUGUGGUUUGGGGGCAACACAGAUAUUAACUAAGACAUGUGUCUAUGAUCUGGAGGCACUAUAAUCCAAAAUCAAUAUGCCACGUAUUACUGUAUGUGUAUACAUAUGUCUUAGAAUUUGCUCAUUUUUAUUCAGGGUUCAGUUUGUUAGGGAGGUGCCUUGCCCAACCCCCAGCCCCAUAAUUCAAACUCUGUACAUAUUGACAUGUUCUAACAAUGUGGGGUGAAUGUAGAUGUAGACAGAGAUACAUUUGUACUAAAGUCUGUUUGUCAAAA